rnacentral:lncRNA from 1 species
UGGAAAAUUGAAUGAAAAGUUAUCUUUUAUUUAACAAUCAAUAAUGUGACAAUUGCCACCUUACAGUGACCUAAACUAGAAACUCUCUUCUGACAAGAUAACCUCACUCUAUCGCACUAAGGGGGACACCAUGUGAAUUGUUUGACAAUUUAUACACAUUAUUCGACUUAGGAAUUCGCAACUACCCUCAGAUAUCUGAAUAAACUGAUCCUGUCAUUGCCAGACCAUUCAAAGAAAUCCUCACUAAGUCAGUCCAAGCUGAACAUCGCUAGCCUCUCUAUGAGCAGCCACAGCAAC